GAUGAACGCUAGCUACAGGCUUAACACAUGCAAGUCGAGGGGAAACGACAUCGAAAGCUUGCUUUUGAUGGGCGUCGACCGGCGCACGGGUGAGUAACGCGUAUCCAACCUGCCCACCACUUGGGGAUAACCUUGCGAAAGUAAGACUAAUACCCAAUGAUAUCUCUAGAAGACAUCUGAAAGAGAUUAAAGAUUUAUCGGUGAUGGAUGGGGAUGCGUCUGAUUAGCUUGUUGGCGGGGUAACGGCCCACCAAGGCAACGAUCAGUAGGGGUUCUGAGAGGAAGGUCCCCCACAUUGGAACUGAGACACGGUCCAAACUCCUACGGGAGGCAGCAGUGAGGAAUAUUGGUCAAUGGACGAGGGUCUGAACCAGCCAAGUAGCGUGCAGGAUGACGGCCCUAUGGGUUGUAAACUGCUUUUAUAAGGGAAUAAAGUGAGUCUCGUGAGGCUUUUCGCAUGUACCUUAUGAAUAAGGACCGGCUAAUUCCGUGCCAGCAGCCGCAGUAA
rnacentral:rRNA from 1 species